rnacentral:sRNA from 1 species
CAGAUUGGGAAACUCUUCAAUCCUUUUAGAACUCCCGAGACAAGCUUAGCGAAUUGAUGGCGGGCUCCACUCCCCUCGGGGAGCAUGCCACAAACGGCAUCAAGGCAGAUUACAAAGAUUCGCGAGCACUCAAAUCCUGUCUUUCCCGAGUUUCUACCAAAUCCUUCGGUGAGGCCUUUU